rnacentral:tRNA from 1 species
GGAGAGGUAUCGAAGCGGUCAUAACGAGGCGGUCUUGAAAACCGUUUGGUCAAAAGCCACAAGGGUUCGAAUCCCUUCCUAUCCGCCA